CAGUCGCCACGGUAAUACGGAGGGUGCAAGCGUUAAUCAGAAUUACUGGGCGUAAAGCGCACGCAGGCGGUCUGACAAGUCAGAUGUGAAAUCCCCGGGCUUAACCUGGGAACUGCAUUUGAAACUGUCAGGCUGGAGUCUUGUAGAGGGGGGUAGAAUUCCAGGUGUAGCGGUGAAAUGCGUAGAGAUCUGGAGGAAUACCGGUGGCGAAGGCGGCCCCCUGGACAAAGACUGACGCUCAGGUGCGAAAGCGUGGGGAGCAAACAGGAUUAGAUACCCCUGUAGUCCCUGUCUCUUAUAA
rnacentral:rRNA from 1 species